ACCGUAGUAAUUCUAGAGCUAAUACAUGCUGUAAAACCUGACUUUUCGGAAAGGUUGUAUUUAUUAGAUAUCAAACCAAUAAUCUUUCGGGAUUAUUGUGAUGAUUCAUAAUAACUGAUCGGAUCAAGGUGUACCUUGAUAGAUCAUUCAAGUUUCUGCCCUAUCAGCUUUCGAUGGUAGUGUAUUGGACUACCAUGGCAGUCACGGGUAACGGAGAAUUAGGGUUCGAUUCCGGAGAGGGAGCCUGAGAAACGGCUACCACAUCUACGGAAGGCAGCAGGCGCGUAAAAUUACCCAAUCCUGAUUCAGGGAGGUAGUGACAAGAAAUAACAACUCGGGGCCUCACGGCUUACGAGAUUGCAAUGAGAACAAUUUAAAUCUCUUAGCGAGGAACAAUUGGAGGGCAAGUCUGGUGCCAGCAGCCGCGGUAAUUCCAGCUCCAAUAGCGUAUAUUAAAGUUGUUAGCAGUUAAAAAAGCUCGUAGUUGAAUUCUGAUUAUGGAUGUAGCGGUUUCCGUUACAUUUGGUAG
rnacentral:rRNA from 1 species